GAACGAGACGAGGUCCAAAAGAGCCACCACAAAGGCCACCGCCACCAAGGCCAGUGUGCCAAAAGCCAAGAAGGCAACCGUGCAGAAGAAGGCCAAGUCCCCUCGCGCUUAUCCUUCUUUCCUUGUGAUGAUAAGUAAUGCGAUUGUGACACUGAAAGAGAGGACUGGAUCGAGCCAAUAUGCGAUCACUAAGUUCAUCGAAGAGAAGCAGAAGAAGUUGCCUUCAAAUUUCAGAAAGCUUUUGCUGGUUCAACUGAAGAGACUUGUUGCAUCUGGUCAGCUCGUCAAAGUGAAAAACUCCUUCAAGCUUCCUCCAACUCGCUCUGC
rnacentral:misc_RNA from 1 species